UCUCGUAGCGUCGAGGCGGACGUGAGGCGGUGCUGAGAAGUAUUCCGAGUGAGAGCUGCAGAACUCAAAUGAACCUUCCAUUCCGAGCCGUCUUCAGAGCGCGCAGUGUCGCCCGGGAGAAGCCUCCUCUCCGCUUCAGCUCGACGCCACUUCGGGUGAAUGAAGCGUUCCGUCCAUGCGGAGACUAGCUCUGGUUCUUCUGCCCUGUGCUCUCGGCGUACUGGUGCACUUGUGGUUGGCUCAGCAACGGCGCUCCACGCCGCUGGAAGACGACGACAAACACCCGGAUGGGGCGGUACCGUCCUAUGAAGUUCUGGUGGGAGUUUUAUCAGCCAGGCAGCAUUCGAAACUGCGACAAGCCAUAAGGGACACCUGGUUGGGCUACUUGCACCAGCACCCUCACUUCAAGCAGAGAGUGGGGGUGAAGUUUAUCGUGGGUAAACAUGGAUGUCCCAUCCCAGAGGAGGACAGAGAAGAUCCUUACUCCUGCUCCCUACUCAACAUCACCGAGCCAGAGGCAGGCCAGGAUGCAGAGAGAGAAAUCGUGAUGGUGUCCGACCCUAUGGCGCUGGUCCCCUCUGAUGUGUCCGCUGUCGCCCUGGAUUUUAAGGUGCUCCACCCGGUGGUGAUCACCAGGCUGGGGGUGUUUCCCCGAAGCACUCAGCCUGAACUGAAGAGCAAUGUGACUGUAAAGCUCCUGCAGCUAGAUCAGGAGGAGGCGAUAGUAACUGCUCGCUUCAGCGCCAUCAGCACAGGGACCCUCGUAAGCGGUAUCUGGUACAAACCCGUGGAGCAGUUCAUCUUGCCCAAGGGUUUUGAGGGGACGCUAGUGUGGGAGAGUUCCGACUUAGACGUACUGACCACAGUCAACUCAUCAUGUGUGCAGCUCAAUGAUGGGGGAGGCGUACUUAAGUUCUCGUCUAUUGCAGAAGGUGUACUGCCCCACAGAAGUGCUGUUGGAUUUCCUGGUUUGGCUGGAGGCUUCACCUUUACCAUUUACGACAGGAACGGUCUGCGUGAGCACUUGUGGGGCUGUCCAGCCAGGAUGGAGCGCCACGCCUCGGGGCUGAGGCAGGAGGAUGCCGCUUUGAAGCAAGAGAGCCUUAGGCACGACGACAUGGUCUUCGUAGAUGUGGUGGACACCUACAGGAACGUGCCUUCCAAACUCCUUCAGUUCUACAAAUGGUCUGUGGCAAAUAUUGACUUCAGUCUGCUCCUGAAGACUGAUGAUGAUUGCUACAUCGACGUGGACUCCGUUUUAAUGAAGAUCGAGCACAAGGGUCUCAAACGUAGCCAUUUCUGGUGGGGGAAUUUCAGACAGAGCUGGGCAGUGGAUCGCAUCGGAAAGUGGCAAGAGCUCGAGUAUGCCAGUCCCGCCUACCCGGCCUUUGCGUGCGGAUCUGGCUAUGUGGUGUCACGUGACCUGGUGCAGUGGCUCGCCACAAACGCGCAGAGUCUGAAGGCCUACCAGGGAGAAGACGUGAGCAUGGGCAUCUGGAUGGCAGCUGUUGGACCACAGAAGUAUCAGGACCCCAGCUGGCUCUGUGAGAAAGAAUGCUACCUGGACAUGCUGUCGUCCCCCCAGCACACAGCGGAGGAGCUGCGUGCCAUGUGGGACAGGAAGAGGACGUGCGGUGACCCCUGCGGAUGUCCCUGGGGACAGUAAGGACUCUUGAAUUGCCCAUUGAUGUGGAUGUGAGUUGGAAUGGUGAUUUGACGAUAUAGUCUGUGUCCCCCUGCGAUUAACUGAUGUUCCAGGGUGAACACCUCAUCUCACCUAAAGCCACAAAGGGACCAUUCCACACUGCUGUCAAUCACUCUCAUCCAUCCAUGUGUGGGGCUCUCUGGGAGGAGGAGGAGGAGUAAAUCAUUUAUUCAUGACAUCCGAAAAGAGCCUUGCUGACUGUUUAUGACUCACGGGAAUGAGGAGGAACCUGGAGAUGAAGUACCUGAAGAAACCUCAAACAGGAAGACCUGAACCAAAAUUUCAACCCAAAACCUCAUUAUUGAGACAGCUAUGCUAACCAGGAUGCACACCGUUCUGCCCCCGUUUGAAUUCAGAUGCAUUAAACAUUUGCAGUCUUGAAAUAUUUGUUCACUAGAUGGCGCUAUUUCUCUUCAUGGGUUUAGAGGAAAGCUUAUAUGACCCCUGAGGACAACAAAACCUGCAAGACCGUAAAACGUUCUUGAAGAAUCUUUAUUUAAUUGUUGCCUGAUAACAGUGUGAAAGGUUAACAAUUUUGUGAGCAUGAUAAAAAUAAUGGAAAUAUGAUACUCCAAUGAUGAACUGAGAAACGCACAGAAAUAUUGAGCACCCCCCCCCAAAAAAAAUCACACUGUUAAAUGGAAUAGCAAUAUUUUGCAUAACAAGUGGACAAUUUGAUGUUCUUUGAGCUGUGGCGGCUUGAUGAAUAAGAGCCACGUGUCUCUUAAGACACUCCAAACAUCCAUGUGCUUCAAAGAUGGACUUCAGCAAAACACUCUGUUGGUUAUAAAGCAAAUGGCUCUCCCUUUAGAUAGCGCAUUUCUAACUUCAAGGUACUCAAAGGGCUUUUAAAAUGUCGCCUCAUUCACACAAUGAUGACAGCGUACGUGACCAUGGUAGGAAAUUCAAUGUCUGCGGCACACAAAGAAACCUGAGCCAGCCUGGAAUAUUUCACAUUUUGAAGCAAACAUGGACAAUUUCCUCCAAAGCCAAAUUGUGAAAUGAACACUUUUCCAAAAGAUGGGCAGCAUUUGCUUCCACGGAGUGUUUAUUACAACCUGAACAGUCGCUUCAUGAUUUCAGCAUAUUUUCUGAACACAGGCUGCCUUUGCGUCCACCAAGAUAAAUGGAGGCUACAGUUUAAUAAGAUAUGAAUAGUGGCAUUGUCAUUUUAACAAAUUUCCAACACAGCAACCGUAGGGGCAGGACGCAUACUUGAUUGGUUUCCACCAGUGGUCUAAUGUUCUAACAGUUUUGUGAUAACGAGUGUUUUCGUGGACUUAAGGCUUGCGGAGUGAGUGACGACAAAGAGGAAGACGAGGUCAAAGCGGUUUAGCAUGACGUGCUGCUCAGUGCUCAGCCUUUGACUCCGUUUCAGCCUCUCGAUGCAUGCGGCUGAGGAGCUCCACCAGGCUUUCCAGCUGAGGGUUCCCCCCAAACUCCCUGAUUAGAUGGUAAACCUCGGCCUCCAGCUCUCGCAGAGUCUGACGGGUAUAUGCGAAGGAGCCCACCUUCUCCAGGUAGUCCACGCAGUAACGCUUGAUGUCCAAGUUGUCGGUGCGCUGUCUGAGGAUGUUCUGCACCUGGGUGCUCUCUGGACGUGACCAGAUGGCGUGGAUGGUGGGGAAAGAGAACUUGCCCUCUGUCAGGUCCUCGCAGAAACUCUUGUUCUCACUGUACUCGCGAGAGCUCAGGUUGGCGUAGUCAUCCCGGAUCUGGAAGAAGAGGCCCAGAGUGUCGAGGAGGGGCUUCAAAUCCUGCUUCCAAUCGGAGAAGAGCUGCAUCAGGCCCACGGCCAGGCCGAAGAGACCUCCGGUUUUCUGCAGCACCAUGUCGCGGUACUCCUGCUCCGUGGGACAGGUGUACGUGUCCCUCCAGUGGAUGUCCAGGCCCUGGCCGCGGUGCAGCUCCAGCAGUUGCCGGGGAAACCUCGCCGCAGAUUGGAGUUGUCUUCGAUGUCAUCUAUGAGCAAGCUGGCGUUGUGCAACAUUUCGGUCACUUCGAUGAUCACCUGAAUUAAGAAGACAAGAAAAACUCAAGUGACCUUGAGAGACGGCGUGUAUGGUAUGUCGAUGCACUACAACUUGUGCACACCAGAGGGCGCCAAGCUCCACUCGAGUACUGACAGUCAAAUGGUGAGUGAUUGACCUACACUUACACACUCAUAAUUAGUGGAUGCAGGACUACACACCUCUUCACGUCCUAAAAGCGCCUUACUUAGCAUUAGGAGACAAAAAGUAUC